rnacentral:hammerhead_ribozyme from 1 species
AUCCAGCUCACGAGUUCCAAAUAGGACGAAACGCGCGUCAAACUGGAU